rnacentral:rRNA from 1 species
CCUACGGGAGGCUGCAGUGAGGAAUAUUGGUCAAUGGACGAGAGUCUGAACCAGUCAAGUAGCGUGAAGGAUGACUGCCCUACGGGUUGUAAACCUCUUUUAUCAAGGAAUAAAACGAGGCACGCGUGCCUCUUCGCAUGUACUUUAUGAAUAAGGAUCGGCUAACUCCGUGCCAGCAGCCGCGGUAAUACGGAGGAUCCGAGCGUUAUCCGGAUUUCUUGGGUUUAAAGGGAGCGUAGAUGGGUUGUUAAGUCAGUUGUGAAAGUUUGCGGCUCAACCGUAAAAUUGCAAUUGAUACUGGCAGUCGUGAGUACAGUUGAGGUAGGCGGAAUUCGUGGUGUAGCGGUGAAAUGCUUAGAUAUCACGAAGAACCCCGAGUGCGAAGGCAGCUUACUAAACUGUGACUGACGUUGAUGCUCGAAAGUGUGGGUAUCAAACAGGAUUAGAUACCCCUGUAGUC